GACGAACGCUGGCGGCGUGCUUAACACAUGCAAGUCGAACGGAAAGGCCCUGCUUUUGUGGGGUGCUCGAGUGGCGAACGGGUGAGUAACACGUGAGUAACCUGCCCUUGACUUUGGGAUAACUUCAGGAAACUGGGGCUAAUACCGGAUAGGAGCUCCUGCUGCAUGAUGGGGGUUGGAAAGUUUCGGCGGUUGGGGAUGGACUCGCGGCUUAUCAGCUUGUUGGUGGGGUAGUGGCUUACCAAGGCUUUGACGGGUAGCCGGCCUGAGAGGGUGACCGGCCACAUUGGGACUGAGAUACGGCCCAGACUCCUACGGGGGGCAGCAGUGGGGAAUAUUGCACAAUGGGCGGAAGCCUGAUGCAGCAACGCCGCGUGCGGGAUGACGGCCUUCGGGUUGUAAACCGCUUUCGCCUGUGACGAAGCGUGAGUGACGGUAAUGGGUAAAGAAGCACCGGCUAACUACGUGCCAGCAGCCGCGGUGAUACGUAGGGUGCGAGCGUUGUCCGGAUUUAUUGGGCGUAAAGGGCUCGUAGGUGGUUGAUCGCGUCGGAAGUGUAAUCUUGGGGCUUAACCCUGAGCGUGCUUUCGAUACGGGUUGACUUGAGGAAGGUAGGGGAGAAUGGAAUUCCUGGUGGAGCGGUGGAAUGCGCAGAUAUCAGGAGGAACACCAGUGGCGAAGGCGGUUCUCUGGGCCUUUCCUGACGCUGAGGAGCGAAAGCGUGGGGAGCGAACAGGCUUAGAUACCCUGGUAGUCCACGCUGUAAACGGUGGGUACUAGGUGUGGGGUCCAUUCCACGGGUUCCGUGCCGUAGCUAACGCUUUAAGUACCCCGCCUGGGGAGUACGGCCGCAAGGCUAAAACUCAAAGGAAUUGACGGGGCCCCGCACAAGCGGCGGAGCAUGCGGAUUAAUUCGAUGCAACGCGUAGAACCUUACCUGGGUUUGACAUGGAUCGGGAGUGCUCAGAGAUGGGUGUGCCUCUUUUGGGGUCGGUUCACAGGUGGUGCAUGGCUGUCGUCAGCUCGUGUCGUGAGAUGUUGGGUUAAGUCCCGCAACGAGCGCAACCCUUGUUCACUGUUGCCAGCACGUUAUGGUGGGGACUCAGUGGAGACCGCCGGGGUCAACUCGGAGGAAGGUGGGGAUGACGUCAAGUCAUCAUGCCCCUUAUGUCCAGGGCUUCACGCAUGCUACAAUGGCUGGUACAGAGAGUGGCGAGCCUGUGAGGGUGAGCGAAUCUCGGAAAGCCGGUCUCAGUUCGGAUUGGGGUCUGCAACUCGACCUCAUGAAGUCGGAGUCGCUAGUAAUCGCAGAUCAGCAACGCUGCGGUGAAUACGUUCCCGGG
rnacentral:rRNA from 1 species